GUCUACGGCCAUACCACGUUGAAAGCACCACUUCUCGUCCGAUCACUGAAGUUAAGCAACGUCGGGCUCGGUUAGUACUUGGAUGGGUGACCGCCUGGGAACACCGAGUGCUGUAGACU
rnacentral:rRNA from 1 species